UUUCCGUAGGUGAACCUGCGGAAGGAUCAUUAUUGUAUAACCGAGGUGCGAGGGCUGUCGCUGACCCGAAAGGUCGUGCACGCCCGAGUGCCCUCACACACAUCCCUCUCACCCCUAUGUGCACCACCGCGUGGUUCCCCCUCUGGCUUGUUCGGAGGGGGGCUUACGUUUUCACACAAACUUUGUAUGCAGUGUAGAAUGUAUUUUUUGUUUUUGCGAUCACGCAAUCAAUACAACUUUCAACAACGGAUCUCUUGGCUCUG
rnacentral:misc_RNA from 1 species